UUAUUUUAUUUUUAAAUAAAUAUUUACGCUCUACUGAUAGUGAUAUUCGGUUGGUGCCAUGUUUGCUUUGAAAUUUUUGUGGUUAAUUUAGCCGAAGGGGCUGGGGAGCUGUGGGAACAAGUUUCUGCAGGUUAUAGCUUAUUGGUUUCUAUUUACAUGUCCAAUAAGCUUAUGGAUUGUUCGUUGGAUGCUUUUUCAUCAAUUCACAAUUCCUAGUUGUUGGAAGGCUAGAGCAAUUAGGUCUGAAAUUUUAUACUUUCACAUGGAUAAUUGCAAAUACUAAAUUAUGCAUUGCAAAAAUUAAAAUGCUUUUAGGGAAUCAGUGAAAUUACAACAAUGCGCGGGAAUUACGUCCAAGGACUAGGUUUUGCAUUGAUUUGUGGUUUAUCAUUGCAAUUGGAGGUAUGUGAUAUUAGAUGAUUGAAGCUUAACAUUCCAG
rnacentral:misc_RNA from 1 species